rnacentral:misc_RNA from 1 species
GAUGAAUAACGUAGCGAAAUGCGAUAAGUAAUGUGAAUUGCAGAAUUCAGUGAAUCAUCGAAUCUUUGAACGCACAUUGCGCCCGCCAGUAUUCUGGCGGGCAUGCCUGUUCGAGCGUCAUUUCAACCAUCAAGCCCCCGGCUUGUGUUGGGGACCUGCGGCUGCCGCAGGCCCUGAAAAGCAGUGGCGGGCUCGCUGUCACACCGAGCGUAGUAGCAUACAUCUCGCUCUGGGCGUGCUGCGGGUUCCGGCCGUUAAACCACCUUCAUAACCCAAGGUUGACCUCGGAUCAGGUAGGAAGACCCGCUGAACUUAAGCAUAUCAAUAAGCGGAGGA